rnacentral:rRNA from 1 species
UACGUAGGGCGCAAGCGUUGUCCGGAAUUAUUGGGCGUAAAGAGCUCGUAGGCGGCCAGUUGCGUCUGCUGUGAAAUCCCGGGCUCAACCCCGGGCGUGCAGUGGAUACGGGCUGGCUAGAGGCAGGCAGGGGAGAACGGAAUUCCGGUGUAGCGGUGAAAUGCGCAGAUAUCGGGAGGAACACCGGUGGCGAAGGCGGUUCUCUGGGCCUGUACUGACGCUGAGGAGCGAAGC